CUCCCAGAUGCCUUAAGAUUAGCAAAGCUGUUCCAUGUACAGUUUGUCCCAUUCUGACCCCUCCUAAGAAGAUGGAAGGCGACCUCUCAGUGCACCCACCUUUGGAUCAGAGUUACGCAAUACUCAGUGCCACUUUUAAAAAGAG
rnacentral:lncRNA from 12 species